rfam:Chloroflexi bacterium RBG_19FT_COMBO_48_23 rbg_19ft_combo_scaffold_5313, whole genome shotgun sequence.
UAUUAGACUUCUGUUGUGCCCAUGAUAGCAGGUGCCGUAGGGCUUAAAAGUGUGCCUGCCGAGGUGCGUUGCGACGAGUUUUCGGAACUCGGUCUAAUGUCCUUGUGUCGUGGCACAAGGAUUUUUUAUUUUUUAG